rnacentral:rRNA from 1 species
GUGUCAGCAGCCGCGGUAAUACGAAGGUCCCGAGCGUUGUUCGGAAUCACUGGGCGUAAAGGGAGCGUAGGCGGCGUGGUAAGUCAGAUGUGAAAUCCCGGGGCUCAACCCCGGAACUGCAUCCGAUACUGCCGUGCUAGAGGAUUGGAGAGGUAGCUGGAAUUUACGGUGUAGCAGUGAAAUGCGUGGAUAUCGUAAGGAACACUCGUGGCGAAAGCGAGCUACUGGACAACUCCUGACGCUGAGGCUCGAAGGCCAGGGUAGCGAAAGGGAUUAGAUACCCCUGUAGUCCUGGCAGUAAACGGUGCACGCUUGGUGUGAGGGGAAUCGACCCCCCUUGUGCCGGAGCUAACGCGUUAAGCGUGCCGCCUGGGAAGUACGGUCGCAAGACUAAA